GCCCGACUAGCUCAGUCGGUAGAGUAUGAGACUCUGUAUCUCCGGGGUUGUGGGUUUGAGCCCCACGUUGGGCA